AGGACGAACGCUGGCGGCGUGCUUAACACAUGCAAGUCGAGCGGAAAGGCCCUUCGGGGUACUCGAGCGGCGAACGGGUGAGUAACACGUGAGAAACCUGCCCUGGACUUUGGGAUAACCCUCGGAAACGGGGGCUAAUACCGAAUACGACCUUCAACCGCAUGGUUUGUUGGUGGAAAGUUUUUCGGUCUGGGAUGGUCUCGCGGCCUAUCAGCUUGUUGGUGGGGUAAUGGCCUACCAAGGCGACGACGGGUAG
rnacentral:rRNA from 1 species